CACACACUCCCGCACAGUAGGUGGCGGCAUGCACGAAAAUUUUGCAAACGCAAUGAUACCAAAGAAGGACCUUAGUAGGGUAGCCAGCUAGCUAAUGUCAACUUUAUAAAGUUUAGCUACAUAGCUUGCUAGUUCCCUACGCGUUUAUCUAAAUAUCUGUAGUUUUUAUUGAUAAACUGUCUAGCCACGUUGUUAAAGAUAAUGUCAAAUUGCUGCUGACAACUUCGUGAUAGUUGACCAACUUAUUUGGCUAUCAGCUUUACUCCAGCUAGGUCGCUUGCAUUCUAACUGACAAGCUAGCUAGCAAAGCUACUCGCUAAUUUAGCUGGCCAAAGAGCUCUGCCCUGCAAGUUACUCCUCAGCAGCUGCCAUGGCCUCUUCGGAGUUUCGGGGUGACGUUUCCCAGGUGCGCAGCGGCCGUGACACCAUCUUCUCUGAGGCCAUCAACCAGAAGAUGCGUGUCCCCGACCGGCUGAGAGUGGGGCCAGGCAUGGGACAGAGAUGGGAAGAGGAGAGGCAGGAGUGUGCUGACUGUCCCGCUUCUUACAGCAUGCACAUCCCAGACAGGCUGUCUCUCACAGAUGCCCCGGACAUGAGCCCCCAUCCACUGUUCACGUCAUCCAAGCAAGGCUCAGCCCUCCCUCUGGGGCCUGCAUGGGAGGCACAGCAGCACAGUGCCUGGAACAGAGAAAGAGACCCCUACAUGAGGGAACCAGUGCAGAGUCCACUGCGUAGGUCCUACAGUGACCAGGCUUUUGGCAGGAGCAACCCUGGCACCCCCACCUGCAAACAGACACCGCACACCCCUAUCUCUUGCGGCAGUGCAGGAUGCCCCCCUCAGCGCUCCUCUACUGCUGCUGCAGACACCCUGCCCAUGCCCCUGGGGCUCCCUGCCACCCUACCCAGCCUCCUGUCCCCGCAGACCAUGCUGCAGGCUGCCAAGGAACUGGGCCAGCAGGCCUCACAGUGCCUUCUGCAGACUGUCACUCAGAAAUACAGGUUAGGGGUCCUACCUUCUCCGACCUGAGUGACCCCUGCCUACCCAAACCGAAAUCUUAACAAAUGGCCCCUAACCUCCUUCCAUUUCUUCCUUGCUUGGGCUUGCAUUUAUGUCCUUACGCUACUAGUUCUAACUUUCUUGGCAAAGCUUUUGCCUCAAUAAAGGAUUCAUUCUUGACUACAGGAUCACUUCCUUUACUCACAACUUAGGUUGAAAUCAUACUAUUUUUAUUUGACCUUUUAUUUUACUAGGCAAGUCAGUUAAGAACAAAUGAUUAUUUACAAUGACGGCCUAGGAACAGUGGGUUAACUGCUCUAACCACUAGGCUACCUGCCGCCCCAAGUAUACCAUGAAAUGCUUGCUUAUUAGCCCUUUCCAAUGAUGCAGAGUAAAAAACAAGAAUUUAAGGUAUUUGAGGUAGAUAUGGACGUAAAGUGACUAGGAAUCAUGAUAUAUAAUAAUGAUGAGUAAAAUGGUGUCUGUAUUUACAGUACAAGUCAAAAGUUGACACCUACUCAUUCAAGGGUUUUUCUUUCAUUUUUUAUUUUC
rnacentral:lncRNA from 1 species